UACGUAGGGGGCUAGCGUUGUCCGGAAUUACUGGGCGUAAAGGGCGUGUAGGCGGCCAACUAAGUCCGACGUGAAAUCCCCAGGCUUAACCUGGGAACUGCGUCGGAUACUGGAUGGCUUGAAUCCGGGAGAGGGAUGCAGAAUUCCAGGUGUAGCGGUGAAAUGCGUAGAUAUCUGGAGGAAUACCGGUGGCGAAGGCGGCAUCCUGGACCGGCAUUGACGCUGAAGCGCGAAAGCUAGGGGAGCAAACGGG
rnacentral:rRNA from 1 species